AACAGCCCCAAAGGCUGGCCCGCAUGGCCCCAUGAGUGUCCCUCAGCCCAGCAAACGCCCCUCACAGGCCUCAUUGCUCUGUCAACAUUGUCCCAGCCAGCAGCCACUCCAGGAGCCACGGCAGCUUCCGAGUGUCCCAGGCUGCACCGGGCUGGGGACAGACCUCACAGGCACAGCACGCAGAAGCCUCCAGCCCCAGCAGCAAAUCGUGAACUGUGAAAUCCCGGGAAAUGAAAUGCAGCUCCUGGCCCUCUCUGUGCUGGGGUGGAAGGACAUCCCUGUCACCAAAUCUAAGGAGCCAAGAUGUAUACCACACACCCUGGAUGCCUCCCCCAAAACGUGUGCCACACCCACAGUCUCACUAUGUAGCCUUGAACUCACCAGGAUCCUCCUGCCUCAGCCUCCUGGGUGCUGGGAUUACAGCAUAGGCCAGGCUGAUUCAGAAUUCACCCCUCCCUGAAAAUUCCCUGGAGGCACCAGGGAGUCUCGAGGUACAGAGAAAGGACAGAGAGGGGCCACUGCCUCAGGAAGGACCCACAUCUCCCCUGGCAUCACCGUCUUCCUCCUCCAGAUGGGCAACAUGAGGUUCUGGAAAAAGAACUUUCAGGCCAGGUGUGGUAUGUGCCUGUAAUCUCAGCGCUCUAGGGAGCUAAGGCCAGAAGACAUAAGUUCAA